CACGUAGGCGGAUAUUUAAGUCAGGGGUGAAAUCCCAGAGCUCAACUCUGGAACUGCCUUUGAUACUGGGUAUCUUGAGUAUGGAAGAGGUAAGUGGAAUUCCGAGUGUAGAGGUGAAAUUCGUAGAUAUUCGGAGGAACACCAGUGGCGAAGGCGACACACUGGCUCAUUACUGACGCUGAGGCUCGAAAGCGUGGGGAGCAAACA
rnacentral:rRNA from 1 species